rnacentral:rRNA from 1 species
UACGUAGGGGGCAAGCGUUGUCCGGAUUUAUUGGGCGUAAAGAGCUCGUAGGUGGUUUGGUAAGUCGGAUGUGAAAUCUCCAGGCUCAACCUGGAGGGGUCAUUCGAUACUGCCAUGACUAGAGGUCGGUAGGGGAGUGUGGAAUUCCUGGUGGAGCGGUGAAAUGCGCAGAUAUCAGGAAGAACACCAACGGCGAAGGCAGCUCGCUGGGACGGUACUGACGCUGAGGCGCGAAAGCGUGGGGAGCGAACAGG